AUCUCCUUUCUUAAAUCGAAUAUAAAAUGUAUGGUUUCAUUUCAGUGUAGGUUUGAAAGUAAAUAUCUGCCCAGAUUUAAUGAACUCAUAUUUUAACAGAGUCGAGAGAAAGAACUUAUGGGUUUCAGCAAAUCGGUAAAUGAAGCACGUUCAAAGAUGGAUGUAGCCCAGUCAGAACUUGAUAUCUAUCUCAGUCGUCAUAAUACUGCAGUGUCUCAAUUAACUAAGGCUAAGGAAGCUCUAAUUGCAGCUUCUGAGACUCUCAAAGAAAGGAAAGCUGCAAUCAGAGAUAUAGAAGGAAAACUCCCUCAAACUGAACAAGAAUUAAAGGAGAAAGAAAAAGAACUUCAAAAACUUACACAAGAAGAAACAAACUUUAAAAGUUUGGUUCAUGAUCUCUUUCAAAAAGUUGAAGAAGCAAAGAGCUCAUUAGCAAUGAAUCGAAGUAGGGGGAAAGUCCUUGAUGCAAUAAUUCAAG
rnacentral:sRNA from 1 species